CGCAGCUCAUAAUGGGAACUUCCUUAUGCCGUGGGUGCGGCCCUAAAAAGGACAAAAAAAAAAAAAGAAAAGAAAAGAAUUGCCAGACCCUUAUCAGCCCACCUGUCUCACUGUAACUGUUACAAUCUUCCUAAGGCCCGCCCCACCCCAACAGGCCUACUCCUCCCUGCCCCCUAUUAGGAAAGGUAUGUGGCCCACUCCCCUCCUCCCCUCAAUCAGCCUGGCCUGCUCCUUCCUGCCCCACUACUAGAAAAGGUUUGUAGCCCACUCCUUACCCUGCCCCUAUGGGGCAACAUAUGCCCCCAACCAACCAGCAAGUGUAUGGGAAGACUCCAUCCCUCCCCAGCCAAUCAGCAGGUGUAUGGCAAGACCACGCCUCCACUCCUUUGUCUCUGGGCUAUAGAAACAGACACGCCCUUGUGCCCUGGUUAUCUGGAUGCUGGUCCACUGUGUGAACAGUGUCUCUGUCAAUAAACGUGUCUUUUCUACAUCUUGGUUUAAAUCCGGAAAAUACUUUUUCCACCCAUAUGCAGAGCCCACAACAGCCAGGACCAGACCGCACGCCCCUAACUCCCAGCCCAGGGCUUGGUACUCUGCGCCUCUGCCCCCCAGAGGGUUGGGAGCUCCAGGCAGCCCGAGGAAAGGCUUCCAGAGGCAGGGAUUGCCUGGCACUCAGACCCCGGGCAGUCCUUUGGCAGGUGACACAGAUGGGUGGUGCUAAGUGCUGUCCCAGGAAAGGAUCUGCCUACUUUAUAAUCUGGGGUGACUGCUCUGAUUGGGCUCCACUUCUAGCCGCAGACCUGGGGAGGAGAGGGCGACCUGAUAAAGGCUAUCUCAUGGAACUGCCCUGUGGAACCGGAUGUAGGAAUCAGGCCCAGUUACAGAAUCUCAUGAGUCACGCUCUCUCCACUUUGGCCAAGAGAACCUUGUCCACACUCGGGCCUCUCGUGUUUGGAAAGCACACAUUUUCUCAGAAGAUAACAAGCGGGAGUGAGGAUGUGGAGAAAUUGGAAUCCUUGUGCCCUAUUGGUGGGAAGGUAAGACAUGGGGGCUGUAAAAACCGUGUAUUAAAAAUAGAAUUACCAUCUAAGCCAGCAAUUCUGCUUCUGAGCAUAUACCCUAAAGAUCUGAAAACAGAAGAGAUAUUUGUGCAUCUGUGUUCACAGCAGCGUUAGUCACAGUAGCUCUACUGUGCAAGCAACCUGAGUGUCCCUCAGUGGAUGAAAGCGUAAGCAAACUGUGGUGCACACAUCCAGUGGCAUAUGACUCAGUUCCCUUGUGGUGCAUUAUUCUUAAUGCGGGUUAAGAAUCCCGCAUUAUUGCAAUUGCAGUGUGGGUUCGAUCCCUGGCCCAGGAAUAUCCACAUGCCAUGGGCGA